rnacentral:lncRNA from 1 species
UGUUUAUGGUGUAGAUUUCAUCAGGAACAAGACACCUAAGUUGAACUCUGGCAAGGUUGUCCAGAAGGUUUGAUACCCAGGCUUCUUUUGUACAAGUCCCUAGUCCACCCUCAUCUUGAGAACUGUUCCGGUGUCUGGGAUCCCUACAACAUCUCAGAUGUCCAGGACGCUUCUUCACAAUGGGGACCCACAAGAGAAGCAACAGUUUGACUGAGAUGAUCAGCACCUUUUAGUUGCCUACUAUAUCUACAACUACAAGGCACUCUGCAAGAAGACUGGGAAUGGUGCGCAAGAUAGUCAAUGGUCUCUCCGCUCUUCCUUGAAAAUUUUCCCACUGCACUACUUAUAGCUAUUUGCGCCCUCUAUAUAGCAAACAAUGCCUAAUCUGUGCCUGUUGGUCCCCCAUGAUCCUCUUUUUCUUAUAUUAAUUGAGAGCUGAUUUGAUGAGAUAACCACCUGUCAGUGACCUUGCAGGGUGGUCUUAUCCCCCUGGCCAAACUAGUACAGACGGGCUUUAACAAAUCACGAGCAGGAAGUACCAUGACAUGACCCUCCAGUUGCACCAAGCCAGAAGCGACAUAGGUAGACAAGUUUGCAUUUGCCCAACACUCUAUCCCAAAGUUAAUGGAACUGACUUCCAGCAAAUAUAGUGCAUGCUGACAGUCCAGAGAACUGCCAGGGACUACUUCUGAGGCAUCUACUCUCCUUAUCCCACUUAGAAACCAUCUGUCUUCCUCACACCACUUGUAAUCUUUAGUAUUAGUUCAUCCUCGUGAUAGGCUACAACGCCUUUUGAAGAUUACCAGAAGAAGAAGAAGAAGAUAUAUCCAGGAUCAUGAAAGUAAUCAUUUGUUCUUUUAAAUGCGUGUACAUGUAACAUUUUUUUUUUAUAUUUAAUCUUAAGUCAAGUUCUGACAACAAUAUGAGGGAUAUGCUGAACUGGAUAGUAAAUUGAAGGGGGGGGGAUAAAGUGAUGUAGUUCAAUAGUAAGACUGUAUUAAUAUAAUUAAUAUUAAUAAUAAUAACAAUAUUAAAAAUAGUAACAAAAAUGACAAUGAUCAUGAUAAUAGCAGUAAUAAUAAUGAUAAUACAGGUAGUAGUAAAAACAAUAAUAAUGUCCAAUGUUAGAUAAAGUACUCAUAAAACUCAGUAUAUACCUGUGCUUUACAUAAUAAAAUAGCAUGUUGGUAUUAUUGAAUAUUUUUUUCUUCAAAAUCUACAGUAAAUUUUUACAACUGAAAGAUUUGAAUUCAAGAGACAGCAUCCCCCCAUCCAUUUUUCAUCCUUUUGUUAAUGUCAUGUUGGAUUUAAAAGACUUUGUAGAAACAAAAUAUGUUGAUAAAUGAGUUCAUAAAUGUUAAUAAAUCAGUUAAUACUGCUGAA